GACGAACGCUGGCGGCGUGCUUAACACAUGCAAGUCGAGCGGAAAGGCUCCUUCGGGGGUACUCGAGCGGCGAACGGGUGAGUAACACGUGAGUAAUCUGCCCUUGGCUUUGGGAUAAGCCCCGGAAACGGGGUCUAAUACCGGAUACGACGCACUCUCGCAUGGGAUGUGUGUGGAAAGUUUUUUCGGCCAGGGAUGUGCUCGCGGCCUAUCAGCUUGUUGGUGGGGUAAUGGCCUACCAAGGCUUCGACGGGUAGCCGGCCUGAGAGGGUGACCGGCCACACUGGGACUGAGACACGGCCCAGACUCCUACGGGAGGCAGCAGUGGGGAAUAUUGGACAAUGGGCGGAAGCCUGAUCCAGCAACGCCGCGUGAGGGAUGACGGCCUCGGUGUAACCGUCUUUCAGUACCGACGAAGCGCCGAUGAUGGUGGUGACGGUAGGUACGAGAAGAAGACACCGGCC
rnacentral:rRNA from 1 species